rnacentral:lncRNA from 1 species
ACCAUGUCAGUUAAUCUACGGUCAUGUCACCUUGCAAGACAUGUAUUGUGAUGGCCAUAAGGACAGGCAUUAUCUUGUUGGAAGAUAGUUUUGAAUGAUGGUCAUUAGAGUUGUGAGGAACCAGAAAAAGAAAAAAAGACGAGAAGGUUGAAUUAAUUUUUUUUAAAGUAAGGAGAGAAGUACGGUUGUGCUUACCCGGUUGACUUGCCGCCAUGUUGGAUCGGUAAUGGAUUUUACAGAAGUGAUGUUAGAUAAGGAAAAUAAAAGAAAUAAAGAAAUAUUCAAAAUGAUAGGGAGCGUAUGUGGUAUGAAGGAAGUAUAAAUGUUUUUGUAUAAUAAAGAAAUAAUAUUACUUCAUAUGUUUUUGAUAAAAUUAAACUUUAUUGAAGUCAAUGUACAAUUAUGCAAAGGAGAUAAGAGUAUAAAGGUUCGCCGGUUGAUGGAGCUGUGGUCAAUGUGGUGAUACUGUUUUGUGAAUUGGUGACCGUUGUCUUUGUGGAUGUUCAUGUUUCAUCAUAUUGUGAAGCUCCAAGUGACUGUUGUUCAGUGGUGUCCUUGUCAUGAACAUUGUUGCUAUUAACGUCAAGUCCUCCCACGGCAUUUUAAACUGUUUGGUAUUGGUUCAUUAACACCUUGGUUACACUCACCAGUUGUUGAGAUAAAUUGUUUCUCUUAACUUUGUUUACUUUGUUUCUCUUACUUACUUUGUUUCUCUUAAUAAAAUUACCUUUUUGAUAAUGGUUGAUACUUGGUGGGAUGCUUCGACGAUUAAACAUUGGCUGGUGGAACAUGAACUGAAAAUUUCUCUAAUGAUUAGUUUUGAGAAGAAGGACGGGUCAAGGGGGUCCAAACCCCGACACGACCCGGGCAUGCGCCCGUUCGUGUCAACACUAAUCAUAUUCUUGGCCAUUUUUGCUUUAGAAGUGAUUACGAGCAGGUGAAAAAAAUUGCAAAUUGGCACCCGAACAGGGAC